rnacentral:rRNA from 1 species
GAUGAACGCUGGCGGCGUGCCUAAUACAUGCAAGUCGAGCGAACGGACGAGAAGCUUGCUUCUCUGAUGUUAGCGGCGGACGGGUGAGUAACACGUGGAUAACCUACCUAUAAGACUGGGAUAACUUCGGGAAACCGGAGCUAAUACCGGAUGAUAUUUUGAACCGCAUGGUUCAAAAGUGAAAGACGGUCUUGCUGUCACUUAUAGAUGGAUCCGCGCUGCAUUAGCUAGUUGGUAAGGUACGGCUUACCAAGGCAACGAUGCAUAGCCGACCUGAGAGGGUGAUCGGCCACACUGGAACUGAGACACGGUCCAGACUCCUACGGGAGGCAGCAGUAGGGAAUCUUCCGCAAUGGGCGAAAGCCUGACGGAGCAACGCCGCGUGAGUGAUGAAGGUCUUCGGAUCGUAAAACUCUGUUAUUAGGGAAGAACAUAUGUGUAAGUAACUGUGCACAUCUUGACGGUACCUAAUCAGAAAGCCACGGCUAACUACG